UACGAAGGGGGCUAGCGUUGUUCGGAAUCACUGGGCGUAAAGGGCGCGUAGGCGGGUCUUUAAGUCAGGGGUGAAAUCCCGAGGCUCAACCUCGGAACUGCCUUUGAUACUGGGGAUCUCGAGUCCGGGAGAGGUGAGUGGAACUGCGAGUGUAGAGGUGAAAUUCGUAGAUAUUCGCAAGAACACCAGUGGCGAAGGCGGCUCACUGGCCCGAAACUGACGCUGAGGUGCGAAAGCGUAGGGAGCAAACAGG
rnacentral:rRNA from 1 species